AGCGAACGCUGGCGGCAGGCUUAACACAUGCAAGUCGAACGCAUCCUCCGGGGUGAGUGGCAGACGGGUGAGUAACACGUGGGAACGUACCCUUCGAUCUGGGAUAACUUCGGGAAACUGGAGCUAAUACCGGAUACGCCCUUUUGGGGAAAGGUUUACUGUCGAAGGAUCGGCACGCGUCCGAUUAGCUUGUUGGUGGGGUAACGGCCUACCAAGGCGACGCUCAGUAGCUGGUCUGAGAGGAUGAUCAGCCACACUGGGACUGAGACACGGCGCAGACUCCUACGGGAGGCAGCAGUGGGGAAUAUUGGACAAUGGGCGCAAGCCUGAUCCAGCCAGGCCGCGUGAGUGAUGAAGGCCUUAGGGUUGUAAAGCUCGUUUGUCCGGGACGAUAAUGACGGUACCGGAAGAAUAAGCCCCGGCUAACUUCAUG
rnacentral:rRNA from 1 species